rnacentral:tRNA from 1 species
GCAGUUGUGGUGGAAUGGCAGACACGCACGUCUCAGAAGCGUGUGGAGAAAUCCGUGGGGGUUCAAGUCCCCUCGACUGCACCA